CCUACGGGAGGCAGCAGUGAGGAAUAUUGGUCAAUGGACGCAAGUCUGAACCAGCCAUGCCGCGUGCAGGAAGACGGCUCUAUGAGUUGUAAACUGCUUUUGUCAGGGAGCAAGUGGGUCCACGCGUGGGCUUAGCGAGAGAACCUGAAGAAAAAGCAACGGCUAACUCCGUGCCAGCAGCCGCGGUAAUACGGAGGAUGCGAGCGUUAUCCGGAUUGAUUGGGUUGAAAGGGUGCGUAGGCGGAAUAUCAAGUCAGCGGUAAAACUUCGGGGCUCAACCCCGUCGUGCCGUUGAAACUGCUGUUCUUGAGUGGGCGAGAAGUAUGCGUAAUGCGUGGUGUAGCGG
rnacentral:rRNA from 1 species